UACGGAGGGUGCGAGCGUUAAUCGGAAUUACUGGGCGUAAAGAGUGCGUAGGUGGUUAAUUAAGUUAUCUGUGAAAUCCCUGGGCUUAACCUGGGCAGGUCAGAUGAUACUGAUUGACUCGAGUAUGGGAGAGGGUAGUGGAAUUUCCGGUGUAGCGGUGAAAUGCGUAGAGAUCGGAAGGAACACCAGUGGCGAAGGCGGCUACCUGGCCUAAUACUGACACUGAGGCACG
rnacentral:rRNA from 1 species